UACGUAGGGGGCAAGCGUUGUCCGGAUUUAUUGGGCGUAAAGAGCUCGUAGGCGGUCUGUCGCGUCUGCUGUGAAAUCCCGAGGCUCAACCUCGGGCUUGCAGUGGGUACGGGCAGGCUAGAGUGCGGUAGGGGAGAAUGGAACUCCUGGUGUAGCGGUGGAAUGCGCAGAUAUCAGGAAGAACACCGAUGGCGAAGACAGUUCUCUGGGCCGUAACUGACGCUGAGGAGCGAAAGCGUGGGGAGCGAACAGG
rnacentral:rRNA from 1 species